AGAGUUUGAUCCUGGCUCAGGAUGAACGCUAGCGACAGGCUUAACACAUGCAAGUCGAGGGGCAGCGGGGUAGGAAGCUUGCUUUCUGCCGCCGGCGACCGGCGCACGGGUGAGUAACACGUAUGCAACCUGGCCGUGGCAGAUGGAUAACCGGGAGAAAUCCCGCCUAAUACAACAUAAUGCCGGGAGGGGACAUCCCCUGCCGGUCAAAGGGGGCGACCCCGGUCAUGGAUGGGCAUGCGGCGCAUUAGGUAGUUGGUGGGGCAACGGCCCACCAAGCCGACGAUGCGUAGGGGUUCUGAGAGGAAGGUCCCCCACAUUGGAACUGAGACACGGUCCAAACUCCUACGGGAGGCAGCAGUGAGGAAUAUUGGUCAAUGGCCGGAAGGCUGAACCAGCCAAGUCGCGUGAGGGAAUAAGGCCCUACGGGUCGUAAACCUCUUUUGCCAGGGAGCAAUGCCGUCCACGUGUGGACGGAAGGAGAGUACCUGGAGAAAAAGCAUCGGCUAACUCCGUGCCAGCAGCCGCGGUAAUACGGAGGAUGCGAGCGUUAUCCGGAUUUAUUGGGUUUAAAGGGUGCGUAGGCGGCCUGCCAAGUCAGCGGUAAAAUUGCGGGGCUCAACCCCGUACAGCCGUUGAAACUGCCGGGCUCGAGUGGGCGAGAAGUAUGCGGAAUGCGUGGUGUAGCGGUGAAAUGCAUAGAUAUCACGCAGAACCCCGAUUGCGAAGGCAGCAUACCGGCGCCCGACUGACGCUGAGGCACGAAAGUGCGGGGAUCAAACAGGAUUAGAUACCCUGGUAGUCCGCACAGUAAACGAUGAAUGCUAGCUGUCCGGGGGGAUUGACCCCUGGGUGGCACAGCGAAAGCGUUAAGCAUUCCACCUGGGGAGUACGCCGGCGACGGUGAAACUCAAAGGAAUUGACGGGGGCCCGCACAAGCGGAGGAACAUGUGGUUUAAUUCGAAGCAACGCGAAGAACCUUACCUGACCUUGACAUCCCGAUGAAAGCAGAGUAAUGUCUGCCGCCCUUCGGGGCAUUGGAGACAGGUGGUGCAUGGUUGUCGUCAGCUCGUGUCGUGAGAUGUUGGGUUAAGUCCCGCAACGAGCGCAACCCCUGCCGUCAGUAGCCAGCAGGUAAAGCUGGGCACUCUGAUGGGACAGCCUGGGAUAACCAGGAGGAAGGCGGGGAUGACGUCAAAUCAUCAUGCCCCUUAUGGCCAGGGCUACACACGUGCUACAAUGGCGUAAACAGAGGGAAGCGAGACAGCGAUGUUAAGCAAAGCCCAAAAAUAACGCCUCAGUUCGGAUUGCAGCCUGCAACUCGGCUGCAUGAAGCCGGAAUCGCUAGUAAUCGCGGAUCAGAAUGCCGCGGUGAAUACGUUCCCGGGUCUUGCACACACCGCCCGUCAAG
rnacentral:rRNA from 1 species